UGCUUGUACAUGUAUAUAUGCAAUUGUAGCACUUUUUGAUGAUAUGCGCAUACUAAUUGCUAUGUAACACCCGACAGGUGUAUCCAAAUUCGAUGAAAAUGGUAUCAAAAUGUGCAUAAGACUUGAGGAAAAGAAUCGAAGAACAACAAUGUAAAAUUCCAAGCGGUUGCGGCGCUAUCUCCAAAAAUGCGGGGUGGGGGAGGGGGGGGGGGGGGGGCUCUUACGCCACCCCCCCCCCCCAAGUACAGUAAGGAGUAAAUGACGUUAGCCAUAUAAUUAUAAAUAUGCAUUUUUUAAGAUGCUUACAUAUACAUGUAAAGUGUUAAAGGGCAAGUUCACCCGAAAAUAAGUUGAUCUUCAUACAUGUAAAGUGUUAAAGGAGAAGUCCACCCCAAAAAUAAGUUGGUCUUCAUAAAAGCAGAUAAAUGAGAGAAACAAAUCAAUGAAAUUUUGAGGAAAAUCAAAAACAAAUGAGAAAGUUAUAAAUUGUUGGAGUUGUAAUCAGUGAAGCACAAAUUGCAAACUGUGUGACAUCACAUGCGAGCUCAUAUCUCAUUUGCUUUGUACAAAAAAUAUUUUGAAAAAUUAAUUUCCUCAGACGUUGAUUAAAUGAAUACGAUAACAUUAGCAUAAAACCAGUGAUCAGUAAUAACAUCUAUCUGAAAGAUGAAUAAGGGUAAUGCUUUUCACCUACUAACAAUACUGGUGAAGGUGAUAGCAGUAGUAAAGGUAACGGAGACACUGAUUAUAUUUAAUAUUAGCAGUGACAAUGGAAAUGUUUCAUUUAUAUUACAUUUUUUUAUCACCAUGUGUAGGUAUUGAAUAUCUUCAAAAUUUCUACCAUUUCAGAAAACUUGGUUUAGUGAAGACUGGGUCUUGGCGAGUGUCUUUGAUAUGUUAAGGGAAUUGAGGACAAAUGAUGGUGUAAUACCGGAGUUGAAAGAUGAGUAUGAAUAUGACAUAGUGCUCCGUGAGAAGUUGGUGAAGUCAUGGGGGUUAGCCCAGGAAGCCUUAAAAGGUGCAUGCUGCAGGAAAAUACAAGAAGUAUUAGGAUAUGAAUGCUAGAAACAGGAAAUUUAAUAACGGAGAUCAGGGUUUAUCUUGCUUCCCACUGAUCAGAACAAGUUGUUGCUGAAAUGGAAGGGCCCAUUCCCUGUGCUGGCGUAAAGUAUGACUAUGACUACAUUGUCAGUGGUGUUCUUAAGAAAUAUCACAUUAAUCUUCUCAACAAAUAAUUUCUCAGGCAGAAGGUUAACUUGUCAGUGGCUGGCUGCUUUGAUUUGUGUAUAGAGAGUAGGAAGGUGUGUCAAGAUUCUGCAGAAGAUGCCGAGGAUCAGUUUAUAUUGAAGGUAAAUGUGGGUGCUGGGCUUAUGCAGUAACAUUCAGGAGAAGAAUUCCUGAUUGCUUAUGCGAGUAACAAGUCAUUACCACGGGUAGAAAAUUACACAAAAAAGAAAAAAAGUGCUUAGCAAUAGUACGAGCAAUCAAAAAGUUAAAAUAUUAUUUGUAUUGAAUUGAAGUACACACAGACCACAAACCAUUCUUCUAUAUUCAAGCGAAGAGGUUUGACAAUAAGAGAAUCAUGAGAUGGAGCAUGAUGCUCCAAGAUUACAGGUUUCGGCUUGUAUCGGUGAAGGUUCAGUAUAAUGUUACAGCAGAUUAUAUGAGCAGAAUGUAAAAUGCACUAUACUCAUGGAUUUCUUUUGUCUGUCUACCAUUGUAAAUUAUUGGAUGUGUAUCACGGUUUAAUAACAUAUUUUGUUAAUGUCAUUUGUUGAAUACAUAUUGCAUUUACCAGGAUUAUGUAAUGUUGAGAUUUAUUUUAUAUUGAUCUUCCCAGCCACAAAUGUAUACCCAUCAAACUUUCUAUGAUAGCACAUACAAAAUUAUUAUCCUGAGCAUAUGUUUUGUAGAAAUUCAUGAAAUCCACUACACAAGUUUGAUAUGAAGAAGAAAAUAUUACAGCAAUAUAUACGCAUUGUAGUUUAUGCAAGUGCAGGAAUAUUACUCACUACAUUUUGAACAGAAAAAACAGAAAGAGAUGAUAAUUAGACAGCCACCUUAUGUAUCUAAAUAUAUCAGAGAGGGCUUAAUGAUGCUGAACACAAUGGGUUGUGCUCUUUAAUGCUGGAUAAUUGUUUAAUUUUGAGUCAAAGACAUUGUCUUCAGGUGAUGAUGUGAACAUUUGAUAAUCUCUACUUUGUAUUAACAGGUUAUAUACAAACUCUAUGGACAUUGACGUAUAGCCAUGUUAUAGGUUUUCAACUUUGUGCAGAAUAUGUCAUACAUAUUUAUACAUGGAUUGUUUUUAUGCUAAUUAUCCCACAGCAUGAUAUUGUUGUGCUAUGUUGGCAUUGUUUUUAGCAAAGGUUUUAUUCAAAGGUGUUUGUAGACUUAUAACCAUGCUCAACCUUUUUCAUGAUAUUAACGUUCUGAAGUACGGGUGCUAUAUAAUAUCAUUUAAAACAAAAAAUCAGAUUAUUGGAAACACGUUUUAGUAAUUGCAUUUAGAAUUGCGUUUAGAAUUGCAUGUGCAGAUUUCAACUCAAAUACAAGAGAAAUGUAAUGUAUCUAAGUCUCAUGACUUGAUAAAAGUAAGAAUGUCAUAUUAUUUAUUGUACAUUAUAAAACUUGGUUGAUUAAACCAUAGGUUGAGAACUGAGAUUUCUGGAUAUACAACUAUAUGUAUAUUGACUAGGAUUGGUAUUUAGUGAUAUGAGCUAUGUUGUGUCAUGAUCUUCUGAUAUCAUGUAAUGGUUGAUAAGAUGAAGAAUGUUAUGUUUGACUUUAAAGGUUUACCUUGAUAAAGCUUAAAUGAUAAUUUAUGUGCAGUAAAAAUUGAAACAGUUUGUUCCAAACAUUUUCAUGA
rnacentral:lncRNA from 1 species